rnacentral:lncRNA from 1 species
UUAAGAGGUCUUUUUAAGAAGAAAGACACCUAUAUAUACUUUUGUUUUAACGGAUGUGGAAAUUGAAAAAAAUGAGAGAAAGUGAAAGUGGAGAUAGGGGUAGGAGGUUGCCUAUUAGAGAAAGAGUGAAAGUGGAAGAGGACUAGAGUUUUAAAAAAUAAAAAGUAAAAUAGGAAAAGGAAAAAGUAAAAAAAAAUAAGAUUAGAAUUUAGAAAAAAAUUGAAAGGUGAAGGGAGAAGAUGG